rnacentral:rRNA from 1 species
UACGGGGGGGGCAAGCGUUGUUCGGAAUUACUGGGCGUAAAGGGCUCGUAGGCGGCCAACUAAGUCAGUUGUGAAAUUCCUCGGCUUAACCGAGUGGACUGCGAUUGAUACUGUCAGACUUGAAUCAGGUUGAGGUAGGCGGAAUGUGACAUGUAGCGGUGAAAUGCUUAGAUAUGUCAUAGAACACCGAUUGCGAAGGCAGCUUGCUGGGCUUAGAUUGACGCUGAGGCACGAAAGCGUGGGGAGCAAACAGG